AUUAAACAGCUGAUUUGGUGUCUUAUUGUUUAUGCAUAGAAUUUUGUUAUUAUUUGUUCAUGUUAAUCAACAAGCUGGAACAGGUUUUCAAAGGGAGAGCAUCGCUGCCUUUGUUCCAACCAAAUGUAGGCCACGGCCUAACAAGAGUCAGAGAUGAAUGUUAUUAGAUAACUUUUUGCCAUGUAACCGAUGCCAUCAUCACAACAUUCAUGAACAAACACAGGCUGCAACACUUGGACAUGAAUAAACACAGGCUGCAACACUUGGACA